rnacentral:lncRNA from 1 species
GUAUUUGAAUUUGUGGCGCUUGGUGUCCGCGAGUUGCCGAAUGAAGCUGAGCGUCUCAGUGGAACCAGGGAUCUCAGGGAGGGGAAGGUAUAAAAUUUUCAAAUGGAGGAGUAUACCUGAACCUAAUCAUGGAUGUGAUUUUAUUGAAGACUGAAGCCUUAGGCUAUGGCAGAAGUUGGGCGCCUGAAGUACACGUGGAAAUAUGCCAACUGAACAUUGGACUACCACGUCAAGGGUCUCCUACCCCUGGGCCAUGGAUCAAUACCAGUCUGUGACCUGUUAGGAACCGGUAGCAGGAGCGCCUGCCCCUGGCUCAGCGCCCGGUGCCAACAGAACACCUUUCAGGAUCCACAGCAACGCAGACAACGUAAGUACCAGCCGUUCCCUGAAACCCUUUUGCAGAUUUUUUAAAAACAACCACCUAAAACAUAGAGAGAGAGAGACAAGCCUCUUUCCCCUUCUUCUCCCCUGCGUUAUGCCACCAGUGUUUCCUCAGUAGCCCCUUCCAAAUCGCUCUGCCUUCAAGUUUGUGCAUGUCUGUGUGGCAUCCCUCCUCCUCCUUCACUCCCAUAGUGGAUCUUGUAAAAGGGCUUCAGAUCGGCCCCAUUCAUCUCCCUGGUGAUAGCAGUGAAUGUAGAUAAAUCUCUGGCUGCCUGCUUGCUGCUGGAGUAUGAUUUUUAUUUUGUCUUCUGUGUAUACCUGGGUCAAAAAGUGGGAUGUAUGCAUACACAUACAUGCACAUACACAUAUUUCCUUCUCUCUCCUCUCUCUCCCUCCUUUUUCUCACACAUGCAUACAUCCUACAUAUGUGUGUAUAUGCAUAAACAUAUACACCUAUAUACAUACCCAUACCUGUAGCACAAAAUAUAUACAUAUCUAAACGUUUGUCUGAAAAUAUGCAUAUUUAUAUACACAUACAACCUUACACAUGUGUUUAUACGCAAUCGAUAGGUGCCUAUCUUUUAAUUUAUACCCAUCUAUAUCUCCAUUUAAAUAUUCCCUCUCUUCUCCCAGCAGAGGCUGUGUGCAAUUGCAAUCCAGGAUUAUACAAGCAGUAUUCUUUCCUUAUGAUUUCUAGUUGUAGACCUUUAUCCUCCUUUCUCUGCCUUCUUCGCAGCUGUAGAAUUGGCAUCUUUCCCUGAGGUUUUCCGAGUGGCAAGUGGCACCGGCUGUGGCAUGUAUUCAUGCCGCUUCCUAUGGCAUUUCUCUUCCGAUGUCUGCUUUUUCUUUGUUUGUUGUUGACUAGGCUGAAUGGUGGGGUUUUUUUUAAGUUAAUUAUAAACGAAGUUGAAAUAGCAAACAAGCCAACAGCUUGUCCCCCCCACCAAAAGAAAAA